AAAAAGACUCAAAAAAAAUCGGAAAAAAGGUAUUUAAUUUAAUCUGCUUUGGCGUGCAUAUUUUGGAAAACCAUAGAGCCGAAUUGUAGGAGCCGUUAUUAAAACAUUACAUUAAAUAUACAUUAAUACAGAACAAUGUACCAGGUACGCCUGUACUGAUCUGUCUGUCUCUUGUUUUACCUACACACGUGAACACUCACCCAGUCUUGCAGGACGAAUAAUAAUGGACGUUGAUUAUAAUAUUUCUAAAUACUGAACCAUCGACGAUCAUCACAUCCUGAACACGAAUCUACACAGGACUCAUCCACAAACACGUUAAAGAUACACAGAAAGCGAGUAGUAGGUUCGAUACACAAAUAUAUACGAUACAUUUGAUGUAUUCAUCAUACUGAUACAAGUUGGUUCAAUACACUUAUACACGUUGGAAAUACACAGAAGGCGAGUGUGAUCUAUUCAUCAUGCUGAUUGGUGUGUAACACUUAAAUCGAUGAAUCUAUAAAGACUUUUGAGAUACACUGGUCGAGUGUUAAGUUGUUCUAUGCCGAAAUACACACGAAGAUUGACGAUUCAUUGAAGUGAGACGCGGAGACAUUUGAAGUAUACAUCAUUCUGAUUCGGAUUGGUGCAUUUGUAACUGAACUAUAUAACAAAUAAAUAUAUUUUGAUACUUACAUUAUAAA